rnacentral:precursor_RNA from 1 species
AAUUACCCUAAUACAUAAUAUCUCAAUAAAAUCUAAAAAUUUUACGUACUUCAAUAAAAUGAUAAAAUUACCCUAAUACCUAAUACCUCAAUAAAAUCUAAAAAUUUUUACACAUAAAAAAUAAUACCUCUAUGUACAAAAAUUUAAAGACCGUAAAAUUUCUCAAGGUUUAAUUUUGGGUUACUAGCUAUACUGUUGGUAUUUCUUAACGACAUUAUUAGGAAUAUAAAUUCCCAGCAAUGGCCGAGAGUAUUAUAAGGUAUCGUAUUUAUUUAAUCCCAAGGGAAGAUUGUAAGAGAGAACUAUGCUAAUAAUGU